rnacentral:rRNA from 1 species
ACCCCGGACUUGCAGUGGGUACGGGCAGACUAGAGUGUGGUAGGGGAGACUGGAAUUCCUGGUGUAGCGGUGAAAUGCGCAGAUAUCAGGAGGAACACCGAUGGCGAAGGCAGGUCUCUGGGCCACUACUGACGCUGAGAAGCGAAAGCAUGGGGAGCGAACAGGAUUAGAUACCCUGGUAGUCCAUGCCGUAAACGUUGGGCGCUAGGUGUGGGACUCAUUCCACGAGUUCCGUGCCGCAGCUAACGCAUUAAGCGCCCCGCCUGGGGAGUACGGCCGCAAGGCUAAAACUCAAAGGAAUUGACGGGGGCCCGCACAAGCGGCGGAGCAUGCGGAUUAAUUCGAUGCAACGCGAAGAACCUUACCAAGGCUUGACAUAUACCGGAAACUUCCAGAGAUGGUUGCCCCCUCUGGGUCGGUAUACAGGUGGUGCAUGGUUGUCGUCAGCUCGUGUCGUGAGAUGUUGGGUUAAGUCCCGCAACGAGCGCAACCCUCGUUCUAUGUUGCCAGCACGUUAUGGUGGGGACUCAUGGAAGACUGCCGGGGUCAACUCGGAGGAAGGUGGGGAUGACGUCAAAUCAUCAUGCCCCUUAUGUCUUGGGCUUCACGCAUGCUACAAUGGCCGGUACAAAGGGCUGCGAUGCCGUAAGGUGGAGCGAAUCCCAAAAAACCGGUCUCAGUUC